rnacentral:rRNA from 1 species
AACGAACGCUGACGGCGUGCCUAACACAUGCAAGUCGUGCGAGAAAGUUCCUUCGGGAGCGAGUAAAGCGGCGCACGGGUGAGUAACACGUAGGUAACCUGCCCCCCAGUCUGGAACAACUAGAGGAAACUCUAGCUAAUGCCGGAUGAGACCACGAUCCUUCGGGGUUGCGCCAAAGAUGGCCUCUACUUGUAAGCUAUCGCUGAGGGAUGGGCCUGCGGGCCAUUAGCUUGUUGGUGAGGUAACGGCUCACCAAGGCUGUGAUGGCUAGCUGGUCUGAGAGGAUGACCAGCCACACUGGGACUGAGACACGGCCCAGACUCCUACGGGAGGCAGCAGUGGGGAAUAUUGCGCAAUGGGCGAAAGCCUGACGCAGCGACGCCGCGUGGGGUGAUGAAGGCCUUCGGG